rfam:Phaeospirillum molischianum DSM 120, WGS project CAHP01000000 data, contig: DSM120_global_c18-2373
GGGCUAGCGAAAUGAUUCUGCAUGGAUUAUAGUGAUCAUGUCGGGAAACCGACUAUGACGCUAAACGCUUUGCGGAAUAGACGUUGCGGACCCGGGGGCGGUACCCGGCGCCUCCACCAUUUCGACCCGGCCGAAUCGGUCGGGCCCUCAGGGGGCGAAAUAGGAUCGACGCGCGCAGUAAAGGCAGAGUCUGUGUUCGGCAUGAUACCACCGUCAUCGGGUCAAUCCUAACAAGUGCCAACGACAACGUUGCUCUUGCCGCUGCGGCUUAACCCGUAAGCGCGGUUCGGGGGGACACCGGGCAACAGAAGUCCCCCCACU